ACACAGCACUGGCAACCAGUGCUACAGGUGAUGGCUCUGGCUGUCCAGCAGCUGUGGGCAGGGUGAGGGCUGGUCUGGUCUUGAGGACUUGUGGCCCCAGGUGGGCUGGCACUGGUAGCAGGGGUAGGGGAGGCACCACAGGACUCUUCCCCAGCAGCUGCCUCUGCUUUCUCCGGGCCAGGGGUUGGUGGCUUCCUGCC
rnacentral:lncRNA from 1 species